AGAGUCUGACAUGGGGCUCGAACUCACAAACCGUGAGAUCAUGACUUGAGCUGAAACUAGAUGCUUAACUCUGCGCCCCUGCACAGUUUUAAAGAAACCAAUUUCAUCUCAAUACAAAUAAAUAUUUAGAGAGCAAUUUCAUUUACUGCUAAUCCUUUAUACAAUCGUCUAGCAGAUAAAAACAACUGCCAUAAAGCAUAAGAUUUUCAACACUAGUCACUGAAAACAUAGGAACGUCACAUUUGCCUCCGGGCACUGUCUGCUCUUCCCCGAUCCCUCUCACUCUCAACUUUGCUAUGCAAACACCGUCACUUCAACGAACGCUCUUACAUGAGAACACUCUCUUCCUGGAUGCCAGCAAGCUCGUGAUAGCGUUUAAAAGUUGCACAGUCAAAUCCCAGCCAGUAACUUUGGGAACCCUGCACUUCAAAAAGCUUGGCUGCUUUCAUGGGAAUGGUUCAGGUCACAGAGAGCCUUCGUGGAUUUGUCUUCGGGCAUAACCUAAAAACCACUAUGGUGACCACAGAAUGGAGCCUCUGAAGGCCCCUUAUUUCUCAAACCACCUUGCCGGGAAAGAACCCAGAAGAUGCAAAGAGGACAUGUUCAGAUGUAAGGAAGAGGGGGAGAAACAAGAGAAGAGAGAGGAAAAGAUAGGAGUUAGGCUGCAGUAGAAAGAAAAUGUCUUUAGUACAUGCGGUGGGAAGGCCAAGAGGAACAGAGGGAGUGUGUGUGCGUCCACGAGGAACAGAGGGAGUGUGUCUGUGUCCACGAAGAACAGAGGGAGUGUGUGUGUUGCAACUGCCUCUCAACUUAAAUACUCAGUUGAGUCUUAAAAUUCAUCCCUAUGGCAAAGAGGGGCCAUGAAAGGGUUUCCUGCCUUUCAACUCUGAUUUUCUUGUCCUUUAGCACCCAGACCUGUUUUACAGGGAUAUCAUGUAAAGUCUGAAGCAUCUGUACACACGCACACAUUAUUUAAGACUGACUGAGGUCUUGGUUGCACUCCCUGCUUGGAUUCAGAGCAGCGAUAACUGUAAUUACAAAUGGUGAAAAACUGCAGCACCACCUCCCUUCUUUUUGUUUCAAAGCCCUCUCUCUGCAGACAAAAAGGAAAUGAUCCUCUACAUCACUCUGGUCUCAUCAGGUCGACCCAUUUCACAGAUGAGGAAACUCAGGCAGGACAGGCCUGCAUUAUCCAUAGAGUGAAAAGCCCCCAAGAGGGAAGGUUCUCACCCAUGGACACAGCGUGGUGAUGCCACCGCCAGGACCAGAAUCAGACUUUUGAGGCCAGGCAAUUUCCUGGAUACAACUGUAGCUUCCACCCUGCAUGCUGAUCUGGGUUGGUAGUUGCUCUGUGCUUUCUUUUUGUAGUAUACACGUGCUGCUGAAGCGA